rnacentral:misc_RNA from 1 species
GAAACGGAGAACGCGCGAGAGGACGAAGGCCCUAACCGGAAACGUCCUCCCGGCUGCGACCGAACACCAAGCGAAAGGCGAAAGCGGGGCGAUCGAAAGCAGCCGAAGCGGAACGAAGUCGCUACAAGCGGGGCGCAGACGUGUGCGCGCCGCUGUUUCUCUCUGUUUCCGGCUUUCUGUUGCUGCUGCUGCUGCUGCUGCUGUGAGCAUACCGCCCCCAAAACGCCAACACGAGACACACAGACGGACAGGCAGGUGUCUGUCAGUGUGUGUGUGUACGUGUACGUGUGGAGGUCCGCACGAGCGUUCGCAGACUUGAAGGGCAUUUGUUGUAUUUGUAUGUCUCCCUUGACACGCCGCGUGGGACGGGCAGUUUUCGCCUUCUUGGUUCUCGGGUUUCUCCUUGAUGCUUCUCGGCUCGCGUCUUGCUGGCGCGCCGGCAGGCGUCUCGGCCACCGCGUUGUUGCACUCCUGUGCGCCAGCCACGCCGGCGUGCCGGCUGCUCUCCAUACGUCGUAACGGCGCACCAACCUUCUCGUCGAUCGCGUGCGGCCAUGGUGUCCGUGGCGGCCGCUGCAGUAGCGGAAUGGUGGUGGCGCUCCACGUGCAGCAGCGUCGCAUUAGCUGGAAUCCACUUAAGUGGGGACGCACGGACGUGGGGCGGUCGACGAACCCGCAGCUGGAGGAGGAACUGCCGGAGAUCUUCGCCGCUCAGCCGAUAGAGGUGGACGACUACAUCCGCCCAGAUAAAAGUCUGUUCGAGCGUCUGGAAGACUUCUGGGACUGGGCCGUGAGCUUCCUGCAACCUGUGGAGAAGCAGGUGGAGAUCAUGCGCAGCCUGCGCCACGAUGGGUUCAUGUCGUUCGACCUCGGUGGCUGGGGCCACGUCUUCUUCUUCUACGGCCUGUGCAUGCGUGUGCUGACGCUGAUUCCGUCCCUCUACAGCCACCGAAACUCGCUGCGCAUGGCCCACAUCGGCCCGCAGAUAUCGGAGAUCACCAACAAUCAGAACAAGGCCAAAAAUGACCGCACCUUAUCGUCGGCGGAAAAGCGUGUCAUCAAGGACGGCUACAACCGCAUGAAGUACGCGCUGUGCAAGAAGCACAACUGCUCGCAGUGGAAGAGCUUCCUGACAACGUUCACCACGCCCAUCACCAUGUCGGCUUUUCUGUCCAUUCGUCGCCUGGCGAUGUACGAGACGGAUCUCGAGAUGGCGCCGUUCCUAUGGGUGAAGGACUUGACGAUGCCGGACCCGACCUACGCGCUGCCGGCCAUCUGCGCCGGCAUGUUCCUGCUCAAUUUCGAGAUGAACCAGCGCAUGCAGCGUGGCGGCCGCAGCGCCAGCGGUUUGUACGUGCGGUGGGUCGUGCGUGCGUCGUCUGUCGUCGGUAUCUACUUUUUCGCUGGGCAGCCGUCAGCCAUGUUCGCCUACUGGAUUGGACUGUCAACGGCCGGCUUACUGCAGCCGAUCCUCCUGCGCUGGCAGCCCUUCCGUGACUUCUUCCAGUUCCCGGAUCCUCCCCAGGCUGCAAAGUCGAACAUCAUUUCCGAGAUCAAGGGACCAUCGCUGUAUGAGCGCCUCUUCGCAACUCAAGAGGAGAAGACUCGAUUGGAGGCGCAGCGCAAGGCAGACCGCAUCAAGAACAGCGCCGCACGCAUCGAGACGGUGGACGACUAUGAGGUUGUCUUUGACGACGACGUGAAGGAAAAGCCGUCGGGGAAUCGCAGAUGAUGCGCGAGACCUUGUCGUGUGUGGGUUCUAUAAGGCUGGAGGAUGGGUGAGAGGCUGGUGGGCACACGUCACCUGCCCGCAAUACGGCGCACACAUACGUGAGCGCCCACAAACACGCCGCUUUUCGUCGUCUGCGUUGCUCUUCCCUCGCUCGCAUCGCCCACGUCUUCUCUUUUCGCGUGUGCACGGCUGCGUGCACGUGACUCGCCCGGUUAUCACAACUCGUGACAACACGGGCGUUAACAAUC